UACGUAGGGGGCUAGCGUUGUCCGGAAUCAUUGGGCGUAAAGCGCGUGUAGGCGGUCCGGUAAGUCCGCUGUGAAAGUCGAGGGCUCAACCCUCGAAUGCCGGUGGAUACUGUCGGGCUAGAGUACGGAAGAGGCGAGUGGAAUUCCUGGUGUAGCGGUGAAAUGCGCAGAUAUCAGGAGAACACCAAUUGCGAAGGCAGCUCGCUGGGACGUUACUGACGCUGAGACGCGAAAGCGUGGGGAGCAAACAGG
rnacentral:rRNA from 1 species